GACGAACGCUGGCGGCGUGCUUAACACAUGCAAGUCGAACGGAAAGGCCCUGCUUUUGUGGGGUGCUCGAGUGGCGAACGGGUGAGUAACACGUGAGUAACCUGCCCUUGACUUUGGGAUAACUUCAGGAAACUGGGGCUAAUACCGGAUAGGAGCUCCUGCUGCAUGGUGGGGGUUGGAAAGUUUCGGCGGUUGGGGAUGGACUCGCGGCUUAUCAGCUUGUUGGUGGGGUAGUGGCUUACCAAGGCUUUGACGGGUAGCCGGCCUGAGAGGGUGACCGGCCACAUUGGGACUGAGAUACGGCCCAGACUCCUACGGGAGGCAGCAGUGGGGAAUAUUGCACAAUGGGCGGAAGACGGAGGCAGCAACGCCGCGUGCGGGAGGACGGCCUUCGGGUUGUAAACCGCUUUCGCCUGUGACGAAGCGUGAGUGACGGAAAUGGGUAAAGAAGCACCGGCUAACUACGU
rnacentral:rRNA from 1 species